rnacentral:rRNA from 1 species
UACGUAGGGUGCGAGCGUUGUCCGGAAUUAUUGGGCGUAAAGGGCUCGUAGGCGGUUUGUCGCGUCGGGAGUGAAAUCCACUGGCUUAACUGGUGGCUUGCUUUCGAUACGGGCAGACUGGAGGUAUGCAGGGGAGAACGGAAUUCCUGGUGUGGCGGUGAAAUGCGCAGAUAUCAGGAGGAACACCGGUGGCGAAGGCGGGUCUCUGGGCAGUAACUGACGCUGAGGAACGAAAGCGUGGGGAGCAAACGGG